UAAGCAUUUCAAUAAGCGGAGGAAAAGAAACCAACAGGGAUUGCCCCAGUAACGGCGAGUGAAGCGGCAACAGCUCAAAUUUGAAAUCUGGCCCUCGGGUCCGAGUUGUAAUUUGUAGAGGAUGCUUUUGGCGAGGUGCCUUCCGAGUUCCCUGGAACGGGACGCCACAGAGGGUGAGAGCCCCGUAUGGUCGGACACCGAGCCUCUGUAAAGCUCCUUCGACGAGUCGAGUAGUUUGGGAAUGCUGCUCAAAAUGGGAGGUAUAUGUCUUCUAAAGCUAAAUAUUGGCCAGAGACCGAUAGCGCACAAGUAGAGUGAUCGAAAGAUGAAAAGCACUUUGAAAAGAGAGUUAAAAAGUACGUGAAAUUGUUGAAAGGGAAGCGCCUGUGACCAGACUUGUGCCCGGUGAAUCAUCCAGCGUUCUCGCUGGUGCACUUUGCCGGGCACAGGCCAGCAUCAGUUUGGCCGGGGGGAAAAAGGCUUCGGGAAUGUGGCUCCCUCGGGAGUGUUAUAGCCCGCUGCGUAAUACCCUGCGCCGGACUGAGGUACGCGCAUUGCAAGGAUGCUGGCGUAAUGGUCAUCAGCGACCCGUCUUGAAACACGGACCAAGGAGUCGUCUUCGUAUGCGAGUGUUCGGGUGUCAAACCCCUACGCGUAAUGAAAGUGAACGUAGGUGAGAGCUUCGGCGCAUCACCGACCGAUCCUGAUGUUCUCGGAUGGAUUUGAGUAAGAGCAUACGGGGCCGGACCCGAAAGAAGGUGAACUAUGCCUGUAUAGGGUGAAGCCAGAGGAAACUCUGGUGGAGGCUCGCAGCGGUUCUGACGUGCGAAUCGAUCGUCAAAUAUGGGCAUGGGGGCGAAAGACUAAUCGAACCUUCUAGUAGCUGGUUUCCGCCGAAG
rnacentral:rRNA from 1 species